GCUGAACCCAGGGUGAGCAGCCUGCACGUGAAACAAGACCCCAUAGCGAAUGCAAUGAGAGGGACAGGAAAGACCACGACGAUGUUCGUCACCGCUUUCUUCACGGCUCUGAUACUUUCCUGCUUCGCUUCGUCUUACGACGAAUGUCGAGAGCACCAGCUCGUGUCAGACGCUGCAAUCAACGAUGCCAUCUCUGCAACUCUAUGGAACGCGCGCUUCUGGGACGAAUCUGUGUUCCCACAUUGGUGGUGGGGCAUUUUCGCCGUUAAUUUUACAUCGGUGUAUUUAAACACAAGGAACAUUUUCGAUCCUUUUGCGCGAUACUGUAAAGGAGGAGACGCCAUGGUUGAUACAGAACUUGAGUUCGACUGCCAUAUCAGUGCAAGGUGCGCUGUUGUAGAUAACGACUAUUUCCUUGGAACUGUUGAUGUGUAUUUCCACGAAGCCGUAGCCAAGGUACAGUUCCAGUUGAAGUUGUACUCGGAAAAUGAAACUUUCACGCUGUAUCCAGCAGGUGUGCGUCUGACGUGGCCGGGGACUGUCUCAGCAAGCGUCGAGCGCACUGGGCCGCGAUAUUACGAGGAAGCGCUGAAUAUUUUAUUGAACCCGCUGGUUAGAGUCUACGCAAAUGACAUACUCAGGUGGAUUUCGACACGUUCUUUUAUCGCAAACCUUUUUGUGUGGAGAUCAAAUGAAGUGGGUCCCUUUUACGUA